rnacentral:rRNA from 1 species
UACGGGGGGGGCAAGCGUUGUUCGGAAUUACUGGGCGUAAAGGGCUCGUAGGCGGCCAACUAAGUCGGAUGUGAAAUCCCCAGGCUUAACCUGGGAACUGCAUCCGAUACUGGAUGGCUUGAAUCCGGGAGAGGGAUGCAGAAUUCCAGGUGUAGCGGUGAAAUGCGUAGAUAUCGUGAGGAAGACCAGUUGCGAAGGCGGAUCUCUGGGCAGUUCCUGACACUGAGGCACGAAGGCCAGGGGAGCAAACGGG